rnacentral:lncRNA from 1 species
CAUAUGCAAGAAAUUAAAGCAAAUAAGGUCCUAAAUAAAAUAAUUAAAAAGUUUUAAGGGUCUAAAAUAAAAUACCAAAAUUGAUGGCUUAAGAUGAGACCUAUCAAAAUCAAAUGCUAAAAUUCACGAAAAUAAAACAAAAAAUCACUUGUUACAAUUAAACAACAAAAUACUCAAAAAUUUCACUAAGAAAAACCCAAAUCAAAAUCAUAAAUCCCUCAAAAACGAUUAAACCUCAAAAUUUCAUUCUAAAAUUCAUGGAUAAUCUGUCCAAGAACCACAUUAAAACAUAUCAAUCAAGAACAACAUUUUUAUGGGACCCAAUUAAUUAGUCUUCCCAAUUUUUCAAGCCAUAGUAGAACAAAAAAAGACUUGGGGGGGGGGGGGGUUAAGAGGCAAUUUUUUGAAAGUUUUUCAUGCAAUCUUCGUGCAAAGUACGAAGAAGCUUUCUGCAAUUUCCUUUGCUGCUUUCUUUCAAUUUAGCCGAGCUAUGUUCGUGCGCAAGAGCUCGAGCAGGCUUCUACUAGUUUAACAAUCAAACCCAAAUGCAAUAACCUCAAACUCGAGCUAUUAACCUCACCCAAAACAUGAUUGCCCAUUCCUAACCGAUCCAACAUGUGACUGAAUAUGAAAAAUGCAACAGAUACAUAAAGACAGACACUUGCUGUAAACUUAUGCAUGGUACAACAAUCAAACAGGCAAGCUACAGACUAACAGCUUCAGCAAACCUAAAAGCGGAAUGACUCUAUCAACGUGUCUACAACCAACCAAGAUUAUGCAACUCUUAUGUUUAAACACACAAUUCAGAGAAAAAGAACAUGCAAGAAUCUGGAAAAUAUUCUGCACUUUCUUUCGGCAAUUUGAGGAGUAAUCGCCAACUAAAGGAGGCUAGAAAUGAUUCCUAUAUUCUGGGUUUCAUGAGCUAUAACAACACUUUAUCUAAACUCAAAGAUAUAGAGCCAAAUUGAGUUACCAAACGAGUUUCUCCAAAGCACCAGAGAUGAAACCACAAAGAAAGUAAACGAAAGCAUGCGUGCAUAAAAAAGAAAUUCAUGCGAUGAACCCAGAUCUUCAUAAAAUGGUAUGAAAAUGACAGCAAGAAAGGCUAGAGUCACCUGCAAACGUCGGUGAAGUAAAUCAAACGUGAAAACUCAGGAAAGUGACGCUGGUUUCUGGAAAAACAACGCCCAGGCAGAUUUGUUGCAGCGGCAGCAGCAUUGGAGAAUCCGUGACAAAAUAACCACUAUCGAGACCAGGAUUUAGGAAAGAAGUGGGCUGAAUCGUCAGCCUGAUGGAAAAAGAUUCACUGCAGACAAUCUUCCUACCCUCGUUUUUUCUUUUCCUUUGCUGUUUCCUUCCUUUCAGAUCUCUCUCUACCGCCCCUUUACUUCCCCAGAUCUUCUUCGAAACCCUUCUCCCUUUUUCACAGUAAAAGCUCCUCUUUUCUUCCCUUAUUCCCUCUCUUUCUUAGUUUCUUUUUUUCUCCAAGCCUUUCUCACCCCAUCUCCUCAACUCUCUCUAGCCGUCGUUAACCUCCCUCAGCUCUUUCUUUUUUUUCCUGUUUUUUCUUAUCCAGCACAGCCGUCCACCCUCCAAACCUCCACGAAGCUUCCCCUCUGUUUUCCUUUUCCUUUGCUUUUUCCUACCUCAGCCCAGCCGCCCACUCUCCUCAGCUCCUCUUUUCUUGUUUUUUCUCUCCAGCCGCCAAUUUCAUCCGACUUCCUCCCC